rnacentral:tRNA from 1 species
GGGGUUGUGGCUCAGUGGUAAAGCACUCAUCUACCAUGUGUGAGGCACUGGGUUCAAGCUCACAGCACCA